rnacentral:rRNA from 1 species
CCUACGGGAGGCAGCAGUGGGGAAUAUUGGACAAUGGGCGAAAGCCUGAUCCAGCCAUGCCGCGUGUGUGAAGAAGGCCUUCGGGUUGUAAAGCACUUUCAGUGGGGAAGAAAGCCUUGGGGCUAAUACCCUCGAGGAAGGACAUCACCCACAGAAGAAGCACCGGCUAACUCCGUGCCAGCAGCCGCGGUAAUACGGAGGGUGCGAGCGUUAAUCGGAAUUACUGGGCGUAAAGCGCGCGUAGGCGGUCUGAUAAGCCGGUUGUGAAAGCCCCGGGCUCAACCUGGGAACGGCAUCCGGAACUGUCAGGCUAGAGUGCAGGAGAGGAAGGUAGAAUUCCCGGUGUAGCGGUGAAAUGCGUAGAGAUCGGGAGGAAUACCAGUGGCGAAGGCGGCCUUCUGGACUGACACUGACGCUGAGGUGCGAAAGCGUGGGUAGCAAACAGGAUUAGAUACCCGUGUAAU